GGGGAUAUAGCUCAGUGGUGGAGCCCUUGCCUAAUAUGUAUGAGGACCCAGGUUCAAUCCCUGUAUCACAA
rfam:Cricetulus griseus cell line CHO-K1, whole genome shotgun sequence.